AAAAAAAAUCAUACAUAUGUCCAUAUAUACAAAACCAGUGAAACACAUAACAUGUAUAUGCACUAGUAGCCAAACACACAUUUACAAUUUUUUUUUUCCCAUCUCAUAUUCUAUUAUUUAUUCCUUUCUUUCAUCUCCUAACCCUUCUUCUUAUUGCCCCUUCCUAAACUUUAAAGGGACACGGUAGGCAUUAAAACCAUGGCAGCUUAAAGGGACACUAUAUUGUGACCCCAACCAUUUUGUCUCAGUAAAGCGGUCUGAGUGCCAUGUCCCUGUAGUUUUAACCCUACAACUGUAAACAUUGCUGUUUUGCAGGAAUGGCAAAGUUUACAGUGGAGGGUAUAAAUGCCUCUAGUGGCUGUCAUAAUGUCAGCCACUAGAGACGCCUCUGCAGAAAAACUCUAUUUCAAUCAGAUGGUCUGAUAGAGACCAUCUGAUUGACGCAGCAUUUUGUCAUGCAUGACCAUCAGCUUCCCAAUGCAUUCCUAUGGGAAAGCAUUGGAUCGACCGAGUGCGAGUUAGUAAACUACCUCUUCAUGCUCUCUGAGUGGGGUGGGGUGCUAAACUAAAUACAUACAGGAUACUACAGCACUAGGAAUAGACAUUUGUAAUUGUAAACCCUUAGUGGUUGUAUAAAUGUUGCCACUCUUACACUUCUGCCUAAGGCCACCUCUAGUGGCUGUCACUCUUCCUGGACUAGGUCUUGCAAAGAUUGCAGGACCUACGUUCAAC